UCCGGGAAGCUUCAGCGCAAGGUGCCCUGUACUAUCGCACUCAGUAUAAGCUACAACGCGCGUAUGCAUUGACGCGCUUUCGCGUUGUAGCGGUUGUACCUCAUACUAAGAGUGUUAGUACUUACAUGCGCUGAACGGUCCACCGCUCUUGCGCUCAGUUCGCGACCGUUCGUCGUGGUGUGCUGCGUCCUCAUCGCCGGCGUAACUACAGGAGGGAACACGAUGUCUCGCAGCCAGCCUUCGCAAGCCAACUCUCUGUGAAGCCGUUCCCAUCGUUGUUUUUUUUUUCAUUCUCUCCCACGCUUCGAAAGGUUGCCUCACCAGGUGACCUCUCAGUCUCAGCACAGGCUCAACCCAGGCUGUUCGGUUGCCGCCCCCGGACUUUUCUCCGGCUCCUUCGGUGAAUUCGGAGAAGAACAAACGCCUGGCCUCCGGCCUUUGUGAGCAGCGAAGAAACUUCAGCGAAUCCUGCUUCAACGUUCCUCCGCCCGAGGAGUCAGGACAUGACGAUAGGUACCAUCGCCAAGUCUACAAGGCGCCUGAUGUCAACUAUGAUUUUUCCUACUUUCCGACCGACCUACAUGUUUCUAACGAAGCAAAGAAGACCAAAAAGACGCACAAAAGUACCAGGGCUUCUGAUGCCCUUGCUAUUGAAAUUGACAUACAGAAAGAGCUACAGGCUCAGAGAGAGAGAGAGAUGAGACGUGACAGUGAUGAUGAGGGGGAAGAUGAAGCCUAUGAAAAGAAGAGCAAAGUAGAUGAGAAUGACGUUGAGGAGGAACUUGAUUCGGAUGAGGAAGCGGAGGUGGAAGAGGCCAUGGACUAUGUUCAUAACUAUGAUGAUGAUGAAGCCUUUAGCGAGGACGACAAGUCGGAUGAAGGUGCCACCUACUAAGACAUUAUUGUGCACAAAGGUCUAUUGUGCUGUCCAUGUGUGCAGCAUAAUCACAAAUGCAAGCACUAAUAAAUUUAUUCUGCUACAUUA
rnacentral:misc_RNA from 1 species